UGCGGUCUGUGCAGCCCUGCCGGCUCAGCCCGAGGCGUGAAGGGCCUGAGGCUGGUCGACCUGCCUUCUCUUGGGCUUGAGGCCGGAAGCCCUCCGUGGGCUUAUGAGCCCUGCGGCGGGGGGCGGGGGUCUGGAGGCAGCGUUGCCUGACCUCGGGCUUAACACCCGGAAUCCUGCGUCCCCCCAGGCUCCACCUCCAUUUGGGACACCCGACUGUUUCACCAAGAUGAUGUUGGUACAAUCAGCGAGAUGCAGCACACCACCCUUUGCCUCUGGAAGAGAAGCCAGACUGCAAAGGGGACUGAGUACAGAAGCUAACGGAACUCAGAAGGACAAGACAAAAAAGCGUAAAUGCACCUGACUGGACAAUGCUUGGGGUCCCCUCUGCAGACCCCACGUCUUCAAAAUUUCCAGUUUUCUUUUUCACCGUUGAGAAAAUCCCAGAGUCUCUUGACAACAUGGAAUCCUUCUGUGAAAAUCCGACUGCCCUUCCAUCAGUCUUCAUUGACCCUAUCAGAAAACUUCAACUCAAAUUUAUGAAAAGCAGUCAGUUUCCCUUUGGCCACAGGAAAGCUUGAGAGUGAAGACUGUCAUGUCUGCAAAGUGCUGGCAACACAUUCUGAUCAAGUUUCCAUGAUGCACUUGGUGCCUUAUACACAGUAAAUGACCAAGAAAUGUUUCAUUAAUUGAAUCAGAAAUUAAAUAGAAGUAUUCUAUAAAGUGCUUACAUUGAACCUGUCUUUCCAUCCAGCCUCAUUUCUUGCUAAGUCUCCCUUGAGCCUUUUGCUCAUUACAAUGAAUUACAUGCAGUUCCUUUAAGAUCCCCAUGCUGUUUCAUGCUUCUGUGUCUUAGCUCAGUGUGUCCUCUGCCUGAAGCAGCUUGGACACCCCUACUUAAUUUCUAAGAUUUAGCUUAGGUCCACUUUUCCUACAAUGCCUUUCUUGACCCCAUUCUUACACCUUUGUAAGUUAAUAGUACCCCCAAAAAUAUCUAUUCCUUUUGUUUGUUUGUUUCCAGAUGUCUUCCUCUAAUUGCUACUGUGAGUUCUGUCAGGACAGAAAGCGUUUGACUGACCUGUACAUCUGCAGUACCUGGCACUUAGUUGGUACCUAGCAAAUAGUUUCAGUGGAUGAAUAUAUAUAUUGCAAUCACACAGAACUGGAGGGAUGAAAAGUACUUAUUGCUAUACAUUUAAAUACGAUCUCAUUCCGAGGUUACAGUUUACCUCAAUCUGUUUUAUAUGUAAUCAUGCUAUCAAGAGUAAAUAAAUAAAAUUUUAGUUUUCCCCAUUUCUGGAAGGAUAUUUCUGCCAGUGCUUUCAAAAUUCCAUCAGAAAGAUAGGCCAUAAGAUAGGUAGCAGGUUUGAUACAAUGUUCGGGUAGCCCAAAGUAGUCUCCUGGAAAAGGAAAGCGAGGAAAAGGGCUGGAACUAGUUUCUUUUACACAUAUAAAAAAAUGUCUGAUAAAUUUUCGGCCCUUCAGGCCUUAUCUCUAAGCUUCCUUCCAGCUCUGUAGUCCAAUGACUCUGUGAUCCAUUAUUGGCUGUAGGUAUAUGAUGACGCAGGGGCAAAAGGCAACAGAAGUGCAACUGUACCUCAAAAUGCAUCCAAGAAUAGAGAAGGAUGAACCUGACUCCUCAGAUUUCAUCUUAUUUACUGCCAUCCAACACAUAAGUAUUCCACAGUUUUUUGUAGGUUGCUUCCGUAACUGCCUCUUCCAAACUGCAGUUGUAGCAUAUUCAGGAAACAUGGAUGUCUCUCAGCAAGUUGUGUUUCAUCAUCAUUUUGAGAUCUCAGGCUGAAUCAUCCUGACCCUAUUCAUUAUUUUUUUCUGUGAAGGACAGGAUCUGACUAAAAGUUUAGAAAGUAUGCAUUAGUCACUAUUAUCAUUUCCCCAGGAAAUUCUAUUUCUCUGGAGGCAGGUUACAGAAAACGUUGCUUGUUUUGUGUAAGUUUCAGUGUUUUUCACUUUCAUGGUUUUUCUUCAGUCAAAAAUAAUUUUACUUUCCAUUCUUGAAAGAAUAGUAGUAAGUGAUUAAGCUCUAUAGGAGUUGGCCACCUGUUCUUAAAAUUCUGUUUGGUUUUGGUCAUUCUAGGUCAAUUGCAUAUACCCUCUCAAUGAAUGUUUCAGGACUAUCAACACAUGUAUAUCAUGAAGAAACUGCUUGCUUAUGCAAAGCUUAGUGCCCAGGCUCCAGAAUACAGUUAUUUUCUCAGAAGACAGGAGACCAUGAGCGAUGUAGAGAACGGUCCUAGGAACAGGGUGACAGAACCCCAGAAUGUCUGCCUGGAAAUUCAGAGGGUAUCAAGCUGGUGAGCCAUCCAAGCUUCACAGAGUUGGGGGCAGCUGGGGAGUAGAAGGGGAGGAAUUUGCUUAAAGGUGUCAAGUUCCAGGUAUGUUAAGGUUAGAUACAUGUCCUCUGCUCCUACUUAAACCAAACACUUCCACGUCACACCUUGUCCCUGGUUGUCCAGUGGGAGUGAAGUGGCAGAACAGCAGAGUUAAGACCACACCUUGGAUAAGAGCCAACGGGGACUGAAUUCCUUCUGGGACUGUAGGAUUAUCUUUUCAAUGGUAGACCCCACAAAAAGAAAAGUGCACUUCUCCCUGCCUCCCCCAAAGCCCAGGAAAAGCAAAGUAAGUGUCCACAAUGAAAAAAAAAAAUCUAUACAUAUACCCAGAGUUUCUCCUUUUAUUUACAAAGCAGUAAACCAAAUCCCUGUGUGAACAUAUAUAUCUGAUAUACUGUAGUAUUGUGUACGCCGUUUCCCCCUCAAACAGGACUUUAGGUUUGGCCACCUUUUUCUGAUUUAAGCCAAAUAUUAGUUUCAUCUAUGUGAACACAUGAUGGUAACAAACCUAUGUAUCACUUUAAAUUGUUUUCUCCACCUAAAGGAAAUGGUAGAGAGAAAGGAGAAGGGAGAAAUAGAGAUGUAACAAAACCUAUUCCUCCAUCCUUAUCCUCAACCCAUAGCAUACUCAGAGGUCAGUGCCUGAGCCAGUCCCAACAGUAAACUUGGGCUGUUCAAGAAACAUCUCCAUUUAGCUCUCUAUAAGUAAGGAUGGCACCCUCAGUGUGCUUCAGAGGAAACAGUGAAUUCAACCCAAGUGUCCUAAAGGAAAAUGAAGUUACUUGAAAUGCUGAACUUUAAAACAAGGAGUAGCCGAGGUUCAGGCAUGUUCUCACCUGAGCUCGCGGGAACUUUGGGUACUGUGUGAAGUCUGUACACUGGCUUUAGCCACAUAAGAGAAAGCCCAGGUGAGAACCACAGUAGCCACGGGUGAGCUGAGGGGCUUUUGCUGACUGAUUGGAAUCCCAGGAACAGCCAGAGGCAGAAAAGAUCUACCUCUCCCCACUGCAUGUUUGCACAAACCAUGGUAUCUCUUUUCUGAUCCAAAUUUCCAAAGGCUUCUCUGAAAACUACAGAUAACCCUUCCUGUGGACUGUUUUAAAAUAUAUUUAUCUUUAUGUAUCUGAACAACAGCCUAGGUGUGCCUCUUCUCUACAGAUUUUUCUUUCUCACUCACAUACACACAUAAACAUAAAUGCACACAG